rnacentral:lncRNA from 1 species
CAUUUAGAAAUAAGAGAUGACAUUUUGCAUAAAUUAAAUCUAGGGUUAAUAUAGUAAAGUCACACGAAAAAAUUAGGUUAAAUCUAGGGUUAAUAUUGCGUCACGGGUUAACAUUUAAAAAUAAGAGAUAAGAGAUGACAUUUUGCAUAAAUUAAAUCUAGGAUUAAUAUAGUAAAGUCACACGAAAAAAUUAGGUUAAAUCUAGGGUUAAUAUUGCGUCACGGGUUAACGUUUAUAAAUAAGAGAUGACAUUUUGCAUAAAUUAAAUCUAGGGUUAAUAUAAUUUGUUUAGUAAAAUUAAGG